UGGAGUGUCCCACAGCCUCAGUGCCUGACCCGUGCUCGUCCUGGCUGUGAUAGUACAGUAGGAGGCAGUGAUAGGAAGCAGAAUCGGAGCGUGAGGGAAAACGCAGGAGACAGAGCCCAGGCGGGCGUGCAGUAAUGGGUCCGGAAUUGGAGGGUUCUUGGUCUCACUGACUUCAAGAAUGAAGCCGUGGACUCUCGCGAGCCUUCUGGGGACAUGAGCGCUUAGAAGAAAAAGUGCUGAUGCGUUUCCUGCUCUUCACCUCUCCUCCCUAGGCCCGCACCUCCAGAAGUGUUUCCACCUGCAUUAGGCCAGCGCGAUGUUCGCUCAUGAACCAAAGCUAUGGAAUAAAACCAGUGAGCCAAAGGCAGAUACAGAUGAACACUUGUGGAGUUGUCCCUCUUCUGGCUGUGAAAAAUAGAUAUUUAUUUUUGGCUGCUAGCUCUAUUUACUCAGUCUAGCAAACUGCAGAGAAGCUCCAAAUGCAGAACUUAUAGGGAGUGGAGUGUUUUUUUGGCUUCUUCUUGCCA
rnacentral:lncRNA from 10 species